rnacentral:rRNA from 1 species
CCCGCUGAACUUAAGCAUAUCAAUAAGCGGAGGAAAAGAAACCAACAGGGAUUACCUCAGUAACGGCGAGUGAAGCGGUAACAGCUCAAAUUUGAAAGCUGCCAACAGGCCGCGUUGUAAUUUGUAGAAGCUGCUUUGGGUGUCGGCCCGGUCUAAGUUCCUUGGAACAGGACGUCAUAGAGGGUGAGAAUCCCGUAUGUGAUCGGUGCCGUUGCCCGUGUAAAGCGCUUUCGACGAGUCGAGUUGUUUGGGAAUGCAGCUCAAAAUGGGUGGUAAAUUUCAUCUAAAGCUAAAUAUUGGCCAGAGACCGAUAGCGCACAAGUAGAGUGAUCGAAAGAUGAAAAGCACUUUGGAAAGAGAGUUAAACAGUACGUGAAAUUGUUGAAAGGGAAGCGCAGGCAACCAGACUCGAGCGCAGAGUUCCCCCCGUUCUGCGGGGCUACUUCUCUGUGACCGGGCCAUCAUCAGGUUUGGGGACCACUUAAAGGCCCCGGGAAUGUACCUACUCCUCCGGGGGUAGACUUAUAGCCCGGGGCGUCAUGCGGCCUCCCGAGCCUGAGGAACGCGCUUCGGCGAGGAUGAUGGCGUAAUGGUUGUCUGCGACCCGUCUUGAAACACGG